AUAAGCUAAAUAAGGGCGUAUGGCGGAUGCCUAGGCUCUCAGAGACGAUGAAGGACGUGAUAAGCUGCGAAAAGUUGCGGGGAGAAGCACAUAUUUUAAGAUCCGCAAAUAUCCGAAUGGGGCAACCCGUCAUGUUGAAGACAUGUCACCUAGCAAUAGGGGUAAACCCGGUGAACUGAAACAUCUAAGUAACCGGAGGAAGAGAAAACAAAAGUGAUUCCGUUAGUAGUGGCGAGCGAACGCGGAUUAGCCCAAACCAUUGUUGUUACGGCAAUAAUGGGGUUGUAGGACCACAAUAUUGAUUAUUAAUUGAAUUAGAAUAGUUUGGAAAGACUAACCAAAGAAGGUGAUAGUCCUGUAUAGGUAAGGUUAAUAAUUAUAGUGGUAUCCUGAGUAGUGCGGGACACGAGUAAUCCUGUAUGAAUCUGCCGGGACCAUCCGGUAAGGCUAAAUACUCCUGAGAGACCGAUAGUGAACUAGUACCGUGAGGGAAAGGUGAAAAGAACCCUAAGUAAGGGAGUGAAAGAGAACCUGAAACCGUACGCCUACAAGCGGUCGGAGCACAUUCACUGUGUGACGGCGUGCCUUUUGCAUAAUGAGCCUACGAGUUACUGUUUCUAGCAAGGUUAAGUAUUUCAGAUACGGAGCCGAAGCGAAAGCGAGUCUGAAUAGGGCGCAUAGUUAGUAGUAGUAGACGCGAAACCGAGUGAUCUACCCAUGGGCAGGUUGAAGCUGUGGUAACACAUAGUGGAGGACCGAACCAGUUGACGUUGAAAAGUCUUUGGAUGACCUGUGGGUAGGGGUGAAAGGCCAAUCAAACUCGGAAAUAGCUCGUACUCCCCGAAAUGCAUUUAGGUGCAGCGUUGAAUAAAAGUUUUAUAGAGGUAGAGCUACUGAUUGGAUGCGGGGGCUUCACCGCCUACCAAUUCCUGACAAACUCCGAAUGCUAUAAAAUGUUUUUCAGCAGUGAGGGCAUGGGUGCUAAGGUCCAUGUCCGAGAGGGAAAGAACCCAGACCAUCAGCUAAGGUCCCCAAAUAUAUACUAAGUUGAAUAAACGAGGUGGAACUGCUUAGACAGCUAGGAUGUUGGCUUGGAAGCAGCCAUUCAUUUAAAGAGUGCGUAACAGCUCACUAGUCGAGCGGUUCUGCAUGGAUAAUAAUCGGGCAUAAGUAUAUUACCGAAGCUAUGGAUUUUAUAUAAUAUAUAAAGUGGUAGGGGAGCAUUCUAUAUGCGUAGAAGCAUAAUUGUAAGAUAGUGUGGAGCGUAUAGAAAAGAAAAUGUAGGCAUAAGUAACGAUAAAGGGGGCGAGAACCCCCCUCACCGAAAGACUAAGGUUUCCUCAGCGAUGCUAAUCAGCUGAGGGUUAGUCGGGACCUAAGGCGAAUCCGAAUGGAGUAGUCGAUGGACAACAGGUUAAUAUUCCUGUACUUGUUAUAAUUGCGAUGGGGUGACGGAGUGAUGAAAGCACCGCGAACUGACGGAAUAGUUCGUUGAAACAUUUAGGUAUUGGAUUUAUAGGAAAAACCGUGGAUCUAGCUGAGAUGUGAAAGUACAACAAGUCUUCGGAUGCGUUGAUAGUGUGCCUAAGGGCUUCCAAGAAAAACCUCUAAGCUUCAGAUUAUAAGAACCCGUACCGUAAACCGACACAGGUAGUUGGGAUGAGAAUUCUAAGGUGCUCGAGAGAUUCAUGGCUAAGGAACUAGGCAAAAUAGACCCGUAACUUCGGGAGAAGGGUCGCCCUCAGUAAUGAGGGCCGCAGUGAAAAGGUCCAGGCGACUGUUUAUCAAAAACACAGGGCUUUGCUAAAUUGAAAGAUGAUGUAUAAGGCCUGACACCUGCCCGGUGCUGGAAGGUUAAGUGGAGUUGUUAGCAUUUGCGAAGCAAUGAAAUGAAGCCCCAGUAAACGGCGGCCGUAACUAUAACGGUCCUAAGGUAGCGAAAUUCCUUGUCGGGUAAGUUCCGACCUGCACGAAUGGUGCAACGAUCUGGACACUGUCUCAGC
rnacentral:rRNA from 1 species